CACUCGUAUAAGUAUAGUAGUGUAAUGAUUUCUGAAAAUAAGUGUAUUAUAAAACUAAAGGAAUAUAUGACACUGUUUUAAUUACAAAAGCUGUAAAAGACACUCCAUUUAUUACACAGCACAGCUACUAAGAUUAUAAUGCUCUCCAACUAUCCUGUAGGCUGUUUAAAAAUUGUCGCCAUUUUACAAUAAAAAUAAACGUAUUUGUAAAUAUAAUUAAAGAAAUACUUGCAAAUAUUUAGCAGACUAUCGCCGUGUUAUGAUUACCAGCUAAAAUAAAUUGACUUUAGCCUUAGAAUUAAUAUU